rnacentral:rRNA from 1 species
GACGAACGCUGGCGGCGUGCUUAACACAUGCAAGUCGAACGAAGAGCGAUGGAAGCUUGCUUCUAUCAAUCUUAGUGGCGAACGGGUGAGUAACGCGUAAUCAACCUGCCCUUCAGAGGGGGACAACAGUUGGAAACGACUGCUAAUACCGCAUACGACCUAAUCACGGCAUCGAGGAUAGAGGAAAGGUGGCUUCUACAUGUAAGCUAUCACUGAAGGAGGGGAUUGCGUCUGAUUAGGUAGAUGGAGGGGUAACGGCCCACCAAGGCGAGGAUCAGUAGCCGGUCUGAGAGGAUGAGCGGCCACAUUGGGACGGAGACACGGCCCAGAGUGCUACGGGAGGGAGCAGUGGGGAAACUUCCGCAAUGGACGAGAGUCUGACGGAGCAACGCCGCGUGAGCGAUGACGGCCUUCGGGUUGUAAAGCUCUGUUAAUCGGGACGAAAGGCCUUCUUGCGAAUAGUGAGAAGGAUUGACGGUACCGGAAUAGAAAGCCACGGCUAACUACGUG